GCCCCAUAGCACCAUGUGGGAAAGACAUUUCACAAUAAUGUGAGCGGAAGUUCAGGGGUGACAACCGUCAAUGAGGUCACAGGGGAUACGGUCAACAUUGGCAGUGGCAGCAAUCCCACCCAACAACCAGCGUCUCAAGCAGCAUCGACAAGUCCAGACAUCGAGCUGAUGACAGUCGAAGAUGUUCAGAAUCUGAUGAUAAGAGAACGUUUUCCUGAAUCCACACGGAAGACAUUUGAGGAACACGGCAUUGAUGGCAAAUACUUUGGGAACCUUUUGGAAGACGGCGUUUUGGAUGCACUAGGUGUUACGUCACCUCUUGAUAAAAUGAAGAUAAAAACAAUUCUGGCACAACGUUCGAAAUAAUCCAGUUGACAACUUAAUUGAUGGUCACACUUCGGGUUGACUCUGUUUAAACCUUUAACAAUGGACGCGGCAUGGAACAUGAACUCUGAAAGUACCAGUGUAUUAAGUGACAUCGAAUGUCAUUCAUCACAUCAAAGUAUAUUUGUUUUAA
rnacentral:lncRNA from 1 species